CCUACGGGAGGCUGCAGUGAGGAAUAUUGGUCAAUGGGCGCAAGCCUGAACCAGCCAAGUAGCGUGAGGGAUGAAGGUUCUAUGGAUUGUAAACUUCUUUUAUAAGGGAAUAAAGUGCGGGACGUGUGCCGUUUUGUAUGGACCUUAUGAAUAAGGAUCGGCUAACUCCGUGCCAGCAGCCGCGGUAAUACGGAGGAUCCGAGCGUUAUCCGGAUUUAUUGGGUUUAAAGGGUGCGUAGGCGGCCUUUUAAGUGAGCGGUGAAAGUCCGUGGCUCAACCUUAGACUUGCCGUUGACACUGGGAGUCUUGAGUAUGUUUGAGGCAGGCGGAAUGCGUGGUGUAGCGG
rnacentral:rRNA from 1 species